CGAGUUCAGACUCGUGGCGAAUAGCUCAGUAACACGUGGCCAAACUACCCUUCGGACCACAAUACCCUCGGGAAANUGAGGCUAAUAGUGGAUACCACAGUUCACCUGGAAUGAGAACUGUGCCAAACGCUCCGGCGCCGAAGGAUGUGGCUGCGGCCGAUUAGGUAGACGGNGGGGUAACGGCCCACCGUGCCAAUAAUCGGUACGGGUCAUGAGAGUGAGAACCCGGAGACGGAAUCUGAGACAAGAUUCCGGGCCCUACGGGGCGCAGCAGGCGCGAAACCUUUACNCUGCACGACAGUGCGAUAAGGGAAUCCCANGUGCGUAGGCNUAGAGCCUACGCUUUUGUCCACCGUAGGGAGGGGGACGAAUAAGGGCUGGGCAAGACCGGUGCCAG
rnacentral:rRNA from 1 species